GUGUCAGCAGCCGCGGUAAUACGAAGGGAGCUAGCGUUGUUCGGAAUCACUGGGCGUAAAGCGCACGUAGGCGGGUUUGUCAGUCAGGGGUGAAAUCCCGGGGCUCAACCUCGGAACUGCCCUUGAUACAGCAAGCCUUAGAGUCCGGAAGAGGUGGGUGGAAUUCCUAGUGUAGAGGUGAAAUUCGUAGAUAUUAGGAAGAACACCGGUGGCGAAGGCGGCCCACUGGUCCGGCACUGACGCUGAGGUGCGAAAGCGUGGGGAGCAAACAGGAUUAGAAACCCCUGUAGUCC
rnacentral:rRNA from 1 species